rnacentral:rRNA from 1 species
GAUGAACGCUGGCGGCGUGCUUAAUACAUGCAAGUCGAGCGAACAGAUACUGCUCUUGCUCCUUUCUCGUUUGCGGCGGACGUGUGUAUCACACGUGUGUCCUCCCCUUAUCAUACUGGUAUCACUCCGGGACUCCGGCUCUUAUCCCGUAUAACCUUCUGCACCGUAUGGUUCUUAGGAGAAUGUUGGCUUUGCUAUCACUUAUAGCUGCAUCCGCGCCGUAUUAGCUGGUUGUUAAGGUCACGGCCUAUCAAGGCUACGAUACGUAGCCGAGCUGAGAGGGUGAUAGGCCACACUGGAACUGAGACACGGUCCAGACGCCUAAGGGAGGCAGCAGUAGGGAAUCGGACGCAAUGGGCGAAAGCAUGACGGAGCAACGCGGCGUGAGUGGUGAAGGGCUUCGGAUCGUAAAACUCUGUUAUUAGGGAAGAACAAAUGUGUAAGGAACUGUGCACGGCGUGACGGUACCUAAUCAGAAAGCCACGGCUAACUACGUG